rnacentral:rRNA from 1 species
AGACGGAGGGGGCUAGCGUUGUUCGGAAUUACUGGGCGUAAAGCGCGCGUAGGCGGAUUGAUUAGUCAGAGGUGAAAUCCCAGGGCUCAACCCUGGAACUGCCUUUGAAACUGUCAGUCUUGAGUUCGAGAGAGGUGAGUGGAAUUCCGAGUGUAGAGGUGAAAUUCGUAGAUAUUCGGAGGAACACCAGUGGCGAAGGCGGCUCACUGGCUCGAUUCUGACGCUGAGGUGCGAAAGCGUGGGGAGCAAACAGGAUUAGAAACCCCGGUAGUCC